rnacentral:lncRNA from 1 species
GGGCAUCAGUGAUCUUGCUCAUAUGAUGCAAGAGUGGAUAGCAGAUCUACCCGAGGGUGCCCUCCUGUCAAUGUAUCUUGGUCAUAUCCUUAAAUUGAUGUCUGUAAAAAGGGAAGUGCAUGCAAUUUGUUGUGACAAAUAUGGUGAACAGAUAUGCGGGGUAGUUUGGUUGUCGAGAAGGGCCUAAUGAGGGUUUAAUGAAGAAAGCAUG